CUAGUUCUCCCUCAGUGAACUGUCGUGACGGCACCUAGUCUCUACGACUAGGUAAGCCUAACAAAUUGUGGAAAUGAAACGAAAACAUGAAAGCUAACAAUUUAACAGGUAAAUCUAUGGAAGAAGUUUAAAAUGCCUCUCGGCAUAUACAAUAAACACUGUCGAACUGAACAUAAGUACUCCCAAAACCCGAAAUAUCAUGAAUCACAAGCUACAGAAAUACAUAGUGUUUCUAAACUCCAGACAUCUAGCAACCAAGAAAAAUAGGAAGUGUCAUGCCCCGAACCUAGGGAGGCGUGACUGGCACCCGGUGCCGUGUGGCCCGAGCGAACCACUCUGUAACUUAUUCUUUCCUUUUAUAACUAUCACGGGCCAACAUGGCCACAACUCAUAAUAUACAAUUGUAAGUGAGAAAAUGUUAUAUCGAUGAACCAUUGUUCGUAAGACAUGAAUACAUAUGGGCCAACAAGGCCUCUGACAUACUGUAUAUAAUAAACCUGGGUCUACAAAGCCUCUAAGAUUAUUUGGCAUCAAAUAGGAUAGGGUACCGGCCUACCCAUAAGUCCGUAGCAAAAUUCUGACACGAUGACUCAUAGACUCGGCUGCACUCCGAAUGAGGUGGAGUCUUACCGAUCAUUCGCUAAAUGCCAAUCUCGUCUGCUAUGAGGGCUCGUCAAACUGAUUAUUUAUACCUGCAAACAUGAAUGCAGUGUCCCCAAAAAAAGGACGUCAAUACGAAUACUGUACUGAGUAUGUAAAAACCUAAGAACAGAAUAAUUUACAAAUGGUUAGUAACUCGCAUAUGUUCCAUAGGAAAUUGAUAUGAAGAUUAAUAGAGAGAUUGUACAUAACUGAGACGCAAAAAAAAAUCUUUCAAAUGCAUAGAAAUCCAUGUAGAAGUAAAGAGAUUUAUAAGCUAUGCACAAAAGUCAAAACUAUGGAAGAGUUGGCCACAAAACACUUAAUAAUAGAGAAAGAACUCUUCCUAAUAAAUAGAGUACCUUUUUCUUUAUUUUCAUUAGUCUUGAAGCAAGUAAUCUUCUGAGUCUUUUAUUAGAAUGUUGAAAGGGUGGUUAGAAAAUAUCAUAUAAUAGUAAUAUUGGGGAACACCUACAAAAUUCUCUCUUUAAGUAAAUUUAUAAGACGUUCUCUUGGGUGAAUUGACGUGCCAUCUCUAAUUAUGUACCAUAGGAGAUUUCUGUUUAAAUAAAUUCAUGAGAUAUUCUGAUCUUAGUUUAUUAAUAGUGAAAUCUUAAAGGCUUACACCAAAAGAAUGCUCCAAAGGAUCGAUGAGCCUGCUAGCUUUAUUUUGUUCAUGUCGUAUUUAAAGGACAUCGAAGAAACAUGGGGUAAAUGACUAAACUUGUAAGUCUGGAUAGCUCCGUAAAUCACGAAAUAUUUAUAAUGUCAUGUAUAUGCGUGUAAAUGUCAUGCAAUGCAUAGGUCUGUACGUACAUAAUCUCAUCAAGCCUCUAAAGGCAUACCAUCAUAUCAUCUCAGCCACUAUGGCCAAAAUUAUCAACGUAUAUCAGCUGAUCAGGUGAUGAUGCGUAUAACGCCGUAACCUUUUUUUAUAUCUCAAAUUGUUGGAUCAUUAAGAGAAAAAAACUAUUGGUACGAAGUGUUUUCAGAAUAGUAUAAACAUUAACACCUUUAUCAAAUACUUUAAUAGAGACUUAGGAAAAGGCUUAGACAUGCUUGAAUAUCAUUCUACAGGAAUGAAUAACCUAGACAUCCUUAACUGUUAAGAGUAGAACCACUUAUGGAAUAGCAUUACGUUUACGUAUUGUUACUUGAAUCAUGCCAAAAGAAAGAAGGGAUAACUUUAACAUACUCGGACCACUGGACAAUAUCAAGCAGGCCAGUCAGCUUACAACGCUGCAGCUUGUCAGCAAUGACCGAAGUGACUAGUAACUACAAUAACCUCAACCCAUUUUUAUACUAAAAAAAACAUAAUUUCCAGCAAUAUCAUAUUAAAAUCCCUACCUUCAGAUCUUUUCUUGGCUGCCAUUAUCGGUCCGCGAGACCUCCUCAGGGAAAAGAAUCAUUAUUGGAGUAGGUAGAGUAACAGGUCAUGUUCAUAAGAGAGAAAACUCUAGCAGAAGAGCUGCUCCUUAAAUUUAACAGGCUAACUGAAGUGGUUUCCCUGAGAGAUGAGCAACUCUUUAAUGACCAAAGUUUAUAUUUUGGCUCUAUUAAAAGGGUGGCUUCCGUUCAUUUGAAAGUACAAAGCUUUUCUUUCUUCAAAGUGAAUGUAUG
rnacentral:lncRNA from 1 species